rnacentral:rRNA from 1 species
GCCCUUAGAGUUUGAUCCUGGCUCAGGACGAACGCUAGCGGUGUGCUUAAUGUAUGCAAGUCGAGCGAUUUAAUUUGAAGCCGCAAGGCUGAUUAUUAAAUAGCGGCGAACGGCUGCGUAACACGUUGGAACCUACCCCUAACUCAAGAAUAGCCCCGGGGAAACUGGGAGUAAUGCUUGAUGUGAAGGUAACUUUAAAGUCGCAAGACGGUUAGGGAUGGGCCUGCGGCCUAUCUGGUAGUUGGCGGGGGUAAAUGCCCACCAAGCCUACGACGGGUAGCUGGUCUGAGAGGAUGACCAGCCAGAGGGGGCACUGAGACACGGGCCCCACUCCUACGGGAGGCAGCAAUCGGGAAUUUUGCGCAAUGGGGGAAACCCUGACGCAGCGACACCGCGUGAAGGAUGAAGGCCUUCGGGUUGUAAACUUACAUUAAAAAGCACCGGCUAACUACGUGCCAGCAGCAGCGGUCAUACGUAGGGUGCCAGCGUUGUCCGGAUUUAUUGGGCGUAAAGAGUUCUGUAGGCUUUCAUGUUAGUCAAAGGUUAAAGACCCCGGCUCAACUGGGGGAAAGCUUUUGAUACUGCAUGAAUAGAGAUGCUAGGGGGUAGCGGAACGCACGGUGGAGCGGUGAAAUGCGUUGAUAUCGUGCGGAACACCAAGGGGGAAGCCAGCUACCUGGGGCUUAUCUGACGCUGAGAGACGAAAGCGUAGGGAGCGAAACGGAUUAGAUACCCGUGUAGUCUACGCUGUAAACUAUGUCUGCUAGAUGCCUGCGUUUGUAGGUGUCGAAGCCAACGCGUUAAGCAGACCGCCUGGGGAGUACGAUCGCAAGAUUAAAACUCAAAGGAAUUGGCGGGGACCCGCACAAGCGGUGGAGCAUGCUCUUCAAUUGGCUGAUAACCCAAGAACCUUACCAGGGUUUGACAUGUAAGUAGUAGAAAGCUGAAAGGCCGACGACCGACCCAAAGUUGGAGCUUACACAGGUGUUGCAUGGCUGUCGAAAGCUCGUACCGUGAGGCGUACCCUUAAGUGGGUUAACGAGCGCAACCCCUACUGCUAGUUGUAUCACUCUAGCGGAACUGCCAUCGCAAGAUGGAGGAAGGAGGGGAUGACGUCAAGUCAGUAUUGCCCUUACACCCUGGGCUAGAAGCAUGCUACAAUGGCCGGCACAGCGAGCAGCAACGUCGUAAGGCGAAGCUAAUCUCUUAAAUCCGGUCUCAGUUCAGAUUGAGGUCUGCAAUUCGACCUCAUGAAGUUGGAAUCGCUAGUAAUCGGCGGUCAGCUACACGCCGGUGAAUACGUUCUCGGGUCUUGCACACACUGCCCGUCACGCCAGUAAAGCUGGGGUCACCCGAAGUCUCACGCAAGUGGGCCCAAGGUGAAAUCAGUGAUAAGGGUGAAGUCGUAACAAGGUAACCAAGGG